ACGCUGGCGGCGUGCCUAAUACAUGCAAGUAGAACGCUGAAGAGAGGAGCUUGCUCUUCUUGGAUGAGUUGCGAACGGGUGAGUAACGCGUAGGUAACCUGCCUUGUAGCGGGGGAUAACUAUUGGAAACGAUAGCUAAUACCGCAUAACAAUGGGUGACACAUGUCAUUUAUUUGAAAGGGGCAAUUGCUCCACUACAAGAUGGACCUGCGUUGUAUUAGCUAGUAGGUGAGGUAACGGCUCACCUAGGCGACGAUACAUAGCCGACCUGAGAGGGUGAUCGGCCACACUGGGACUGAGACACGGCCCAGACUCCUACGGGAGGCAGCAGUAGGGAAUCUUCGGCAAUGGGGGCAACCCUGACCGAGCAACGCCGCGUGAGUGAAGAAGGUUUUCGGAUCGUAAAGCUCUGUUGUAAGUCAAGAACGAGUGUGAGAGUGGAAAGUUCACACUGUGACGGUAGCUUACCAGAAAGGGACGGCUAACUACGUGCCAGCAGCCGCGGUAAUACGUAGGUCCCGAGCGUUGUCCGGAUUUAUUGGGCGUAAAGCGAGCGCAGGCGGUUUGAUAAGUCUGAAGUUAAAGGCUGUGGCUCAACCAUAGUUCGCUUUGGAAACUGUCAAACUUGAGUGCAGAAGGGGAGAGUGGAAUUCCAUGUGUAGUGGUGAAAUGCGUAGAUAUAUGGAGGAACACCGGUGGCGAAAGCGGCUCUCUGGUCUGUAACUGACGCUGAGGCUCGAAAGCGUGGGGAGCGAACAGGAUUAGAUACCCUGGUAGUCCACGCCGUAAACGAUGAGUGCUAGGUGUUGGAUCCUUUCCGGGAUUCAGUGCCGCAGCUAACGCAUUAAGCACUCCGCCUGGGGAGUACGACCGCAAGGUUGAAACUCAAAGGAAUUGACGGGGGCCCGCACAAGCGG
rnacentral:rRNA from 1 species